UACGAAGGGUGCUAGCGUUGUUCGGAAUCACUGGGCGUAAAGCGCGCGUAGGCGGUUUUCCAAGUCAGGGGUGAAAUCCUUGGGCUCAACCCAAGAAUUGCCUCUGAAACUGGAAGACUAGAGUGUCGGAGGGGAUAGCGGAAUUCCUAAUGUAGAGGUGAAAUUCGUAGAUAUUAGGAGGAACACCGGUGGCGAAGGCGGCUAUCUGGACGACAACUGACGCUGAGGCGCGAAAGCACGGGGAUCAAACAGG
rnacentral:rRNA from 1 species